AUUUUGUUCAGCUGUCAGCUUUAAAAGAAAUCGCGACAGGGAGAGACGUCGUUCCAUUGCGCAACGUCACGAUGCAGCAGGGGGAAUCACAGAUGUCGCUGUGUUUCUGGAGGGAGGCAGCCGUAUGGCAGCUGCAGGUGGGGGCCCACAUUAAAGUUUCCCAUCUUAAAGCUGGGAGGUCUAACUAUGGGCUCAGACUCCAGUCCACAAACGUUUCCACCAUUGAGGAGGUACGCUCAGAGGACAUCGUGGGGGCACUCGGGGUGAUGGAGAUUGAGGGAGAUCCGGGGAACCUCAACCUUCUCCUAGAAGAUGGCCGUACCGUCUUAAUUGAGGAGAGAUUGUGGGAGCCAAUCGAACUUGUCAUGAUUGAACCCGUGAUAAAAGUUCAAAUUAAAAUGACAAGAAACAAGGUGCAGGCAAUUGAAGUG